rnacentral:rRNA from 1 species
UACGGGGGGGGUAAGCGUUGUUCGGAAUUACUGGGCGUAAAGGGUCUGUAGGUGGCCAACUAAGUCAGACGUGAAAUCCCUCAGCUUAACUGGGGAACUGCGUCUGAGACUGGAUGGCUCGAGUGCAGGAGAGGAAUGCGGAAUUCCAGGUGUAGCGGUGAAAUGCGUAGAUAUCUGGAGGAACACCGGUGGCGAAGGCGGCAUUCUGGACUGCAACUGACACUGAGAGACGAAAGCCAGGGGAGCAAACGGG